GACGAACGCUGGCGGCGUGCUUAACACAUGCAAGUCGAACGGUGAUGCUCCAGCUUGCUGGAGUGGAUCAGUGGCGAACGGGUGAGUAACACGUGAGCAACCUGCCCCAGACUCUGGAAUAAGCGCUGGAAACGGCGUCUAAUACUGGAUACGAAACUGGCCCGCAUGGGCAUGGUUUGGAAAGUUUUUCGGUUUGGGAUGGGCUCGCGGCCUAUCAGCUUGUUGGUGAGGUAAUGGCUCACCAAGGCGACGACGGGUAGCCGGCCUGAGAGGGCGACCGGCCACACUGGGACUGAGACACGGCCCAGACUCCUACGGGAGGCAGCAGUGGGGAAUAUUGCACAAUGGGCGAAAGUCUGAUGCAGCGACGCCGCGUGAGGGAUGACGGCCUUCGGGUUGUAAACCUCUUUCAGCAGGGAAGAAGCGAAAGUGACGGUACCUGCAGAAGAAGCACCGGCUAACUACGUG
rnacentral:rRNA from 1 species